AACGAACGCUGGCGGCAGGCUUAACACAUGCAAGUCGAACGCACCGCAAGGUGAGUGGCAGACGGGUGAGUAACACGUGGGGAUCUGCCCAAUGGUACGGAAUAGCUCCGGGAAACUGGAAUUAAUACCGUAUGUGCCCUUCGGGGGAAAGAUUUAUCGCCAUUGGAUGAACCCGCGUCGGAUUAGCUAGUUGGUGUGGUAAAGGCGCACCAAGGCGACGAUCCGUAGCUGGUCUGAGAGGAUGAUCAGCCACACUGGGACUGAGACACGGCCCAGACUCCUACGGGAGGCAGCAGUGGGGAAUCUUCCGCAAUGGGCGAAAGCCUGACGGAGCGACACCGCGUGAAGGAUGAAGUCCUUUUUGGACGUAAACUUCUGUUGUGAGGGACGAAAUUUUUGACGGUACCUCACGAGAAAGCAUCGGCUAACCCUGUGCCAGCCGCCGCGGUAACAC
rnacentral:rRNA from 1 species